AUGUUUAGGUUCUUUUGUUUGAAUUCAGCAUUCAGAUUUGCAUGAUCUGAUCCACUUCCACACAUACUACCUUUUGCAUAAAAAGUUGUUCUUGUAAUUUUUUUUUCCAAACGGUGGCUAUUUUAUUAUUAGAUCAUAAAAUAGAAUAUGAAGCUGGAAGUUCUAAAAGAAAAAACGAACAUUAGACAAUAAUAUCCCGGACAUUAAAAUCCCUCCAUCUCUCCCAAACUAAAUAACUAAAAGGCGCUCUGUGUUUAGGCCACAUAAACGAGUCCUUUAUGCCAUCUACGGCUUUCAAAAUUGAAAACGAGAUGCUAUUAAAAAUGCAAUCGUUUCGGGUCUUCCAGAUCUUCCAAAUGGAGGCAUAAAGAAUAGUUUUUCUUUUUUUUUUUUUCAAUUUUGUUGAACCAUUAGCCUCGUUCACCUUUUCCACCAUGUCCCAGAACGGCGUUGCAUUGGUCACUACCGGGAGUUGUUCUUGUACUGUUAUGCAAGUUAAUUUGUUUUCAUGGUCUGAUCUUUAUGGUUAUAUUCAAUAAUAAAAAUAAAUUAUUUUAAUAUUAAGGUAUCUUGCUAUUUUCUUAAUAUGAAGGUUGGGGAAACACAUACACACGCAAAAGCAAUAAAAAGCAACAUGAUAAUUUAUAUAGUUUGGAUUCGGUAUGAAUCCUACCUUCAUGAGCUACAAUCAGAUAUUCUUUAUUAUGCUCAGCACAAAACAUAGGUUUAUAACUUAG
rnacentral:lncRNA from 1 species